rnacentral:misc_RNA from 1 species
AACGGUCUAUACCUGCGGUACCUGCGGAAGGAUCAUUACAGAGUUUACAACUCCCAAACCCACUGUGAACCUUACAGCGUCGUUGCCUCGGCGGACCGCCCCCGGCGCGGCCCCCCUCGGGGGGGCGCCCGGGACCACGGCGCCCGCCGGAGGACCCAAACUCUUGUAUUUGCAGGAUGCAUUGCUCUGAGUGAAAACAAGCAAAUGAAUCAAAACUUUUAACAACGGAUCUCUAGAUCG